UACGGAGGGGCGAGCGUUGUUCGGAAUCACUGGGUGUAAAGGGUGCGUAGGCGGUCCGAUAAGUCUGAUGUGAAAGCCCUGGGCUCAACUCAGGAACUGCAUUGGAAACUGACGGACUGGAGUACCGGAGAGGGAAGCGGAAUUCCUGGUGUAGCGGUGAAAUGCGUAGAGUACCAGGAGGAACACCGGUGGCGAAGGCGGUUCCUGGCCGAGUACUGACGCUGAGGCGCGAA
rnacentral:rRNA from 1 species